GAUGAAGAACGCAGUGAAAUGCGAUAAGUAGUGUGAAUUGCAGAAUUCAGUGAAUCAUCGAAUCUUUGAACGCACAUUGCGCCCCUCGGUAUUCCGUGGGGCAUGCCUGUUCGAGCGUCAUUAUAACCCCUCAAGCUCAGCUUGGUGUUGGGGCCUGCCGACUGGCAGCCCUUAAAAUCAGUGGCGGCGCCAUCUGGCUCUAAGCGUAGUAAUUUCUCUCGCUAUAGAGUCCCGGUGGAUGCUUGCCAGCAACCCCCAACUUUCUAUGGUUGACCUCGGAUCAGGUAGGGAUACCCGCUGAACUUAAGCAUAUCAAUAAGCGGAGGA
rnacentral:misc_RNA from 1 species